rnacentral:sRNA from 1 species
AGCCUAAACUUGGUCUUCUGGCUAGGCAUGGCAAAAAACUCAACAAAGGUACUGAUCCCCACGAUCAGCGAUUCUUUGUUGAGUCAUACUUCGAAAGGAGUAUGGGGCCGUAAGGCUC